rnacentral:lncRNA from 1 species
UUAUAUAUAUAUAUAUAUAUAUAUAUAUAUAUAUAUAGAGAGAGAGAGAGAGAGAGAGAGAGAGAGAGAGAGAGAGAGAGAGAGAGAGAGAGAGUUGGACUGGGCUACUAUUAGUAGCAAAAUUCCAUUGUUGCUAUCAGUUUUUUAGCCUUAUCAACUCUUUUCAUAAUUUCCAACCAUUGGAUUAAAUACUAUAACCCUAGGCGGACCACUCAACUCUAACCGACUAAUAUCAUCCUGAUCCUACAAUUUUUCAUCCAAGGGUUAAAAACUUGAUAGCAAAAAGAGCGUUUUACUAUUAAUAGUAUUCCAGCUUAAUUCUAUAUGUAUAUAUAUAUAUAUAUAUAGAGUCCAGCUAUGGUGCUUUUAAAAGCACCAAGCACAUGGUGCUUGUAGGUUUUUAGCCAUUAGAUUUGCACCGUUAACCAUUUACACCCGUUAGAUUAUACUAUUCAACCAACCACCCACUCAACCCUAGGGGGCCCACAUCAUCCUAACCACACAAUUCUUAAUCUAAAGGCUAAAAAUUUACAAGCACCUAUGCCAUGCUACUUUUAAAAGCAUAGGAGCUAAAUUAUAUAUAUAUAGUAUAGUUUGGCUACUAUACUUUUAUGAGUACGAUCGCCCUCUUACUCAUAAGUUGUUUUCGAUGAUAGUGCUUUCGAAUCAACGAUCCAUACAGUUAAAUAUUAUCUAGAGCAAUUAAAACGCAUAGAAAUCAAAUUUUAUAAUUUUUCGACAUUAUUUACCUUACAAUCAAAAUCUCACAAAAUUGACAAAUUUUUAAUGACCGGUAUGAGAUAUUUGCUAGUUUACUGGUGAAAAAGAAUCGGAAUAAGAUGAAUUUUUGAUAGAAAAUUCUAUUCACUACCUAAAUAAAGAUCAAUAACUCUGAUCUUAAAUUGAAGGAUCCGAUCAUCCAUUUUUAGGAUGUCGUUCGAUUUUAACCAUUCAUUUUAUAC